rnacentral:rRNA from 1 species
CCUACGGGGCGCAGCAGUGGGGAAUAUUGGACAAUGGGCGAAAGCCUGAUCCAGCCAUGCCGCGUGUGUGAAGAAGGCCUUCGGGUUGUAAAGCACUUUCAGUGGGGAAGAAAGCCUUGGGGCUAAUACCCUCGAGGAAGGACAUCACCCACAGAAGAAGCACCGGCUAACUCCGUGCCAGCAGCCGCGGUAAUACGGAGGGUGCGAGCGUUAAUCGGAAUUACUGGGCGUAAAGCGCGCGUAGGCGGUCUGAUAAGCCGGUUGUGAAAGCCCCGGGCUCAACCUGGGAACGGCAUCCGGAACUGUCAGGCUAGAGUGCAGGAGAGGAAGGUAGAAUUCCCGGUGUAGCGGUGAAAUGCGUAGAGAUCGGGAGGAAUACCAGUGGCGAAGGCGGCUUUCUGGACUGACACUGACGCUGAGGUGCGAAAGCGUGGGUAGCAAACAGGAUUAGAUACACCAGUAGUCC